AUGAGGCCCAAGGCCACUCGUGGACCACCGCGACGACGAACGGGAACCAGCGGCGUCCUCCUUGGACCACCGCGACGGCGAACGGGAACCAGCGGCGUCCUCCUUGGACCACCGCGACGGCGAACGGGAACCAGCGGCGUCCUCCUUGGACCACCGCGACGGCGAACGGGAACCAGCGGCGUCCUCCUUGGACCACCGCAACGACAAACGGGAACCAGCGGCGUCCUCCUUGGACCACCGCGACGGCGAACGGGAACCAGCGGCGUCCUCCUUGGACCACCGCGACGGCGAACGGGAACCAGCGGCGUCCUCCUUGGACCACCGCAACGACAAACGGGAACCAGCGGCGUCCUCCUUGGACCACCGCGACGAACAGGAACCAACGGCGUCCUCUUUGGACCUUCGCGACGAACAGGAACCAACGGCGUCCUCUUUGGACCUUCGCGACGAACAGGAACCAACGGCGUCCUCUUUGGACCACCGCGACGAACAGGAACCAACGGCGUCCUCUUUGGACCACCGCGACGAAACGUGGCCUCCACUGGACCACCAGGAACCUCAAGGGUCAAACGUGGCUUGGCGACAGGAACCUUACGUGGUGCUGCCCUCGGGGAAACAAGAAGCAGCCCCCCCCUCAGAGAUGCGCCCUUCUUGGAGGGCAGACGUGGAGCCGGAACCGGAGACGAAACCAGACGUGGAGCCGGAACCGGAGACAAAGCCAGACGUGGAGCCGGAACCGGAGACGAAACCAGACGUGGAGCCGGAACCGGAGACGAAACCAGACGUGGACGUGGAGCCGGAACCGGAGACGAAGCCAGACGUGGAGCCGGAACCGGAGACGAAGCCAGACGUGGACGUGGAGCCGGAACCGGAGACGAAACCAGACGUGGACGUGGAGCCGGAACCGGGGACGAAACCAGACGUGGAGCCAGAGCCGGAGCCAGAGACGAAACUAGACGUGGAGCCGGAACCGGAGCCAAACAUGAAGAGGUGAAGGCAACAGCUGAUGUGCUGUCGCGCUGA
rnacentral:lncRNA from 1 species